AGCAGUCGCCGCGGUAAUACGAAGGGGGCUAGCGUUGUUCGGAUUUACUGGGCGUAAAGCGCACGUAGGUGGUGGUUUAAGUCCGUUGUGAAAGCCCUGGGCUCAACCUGGGAAUUGCAGUGGAUACUGGAUCACUAGAGUGUGGUAGAGGAUAGUGGAAUUUCCGGUGUAGCAGUGAAAUGCGUAGAGAUCGGAAGGAACAUCUGUGGCGAAGGCGACUAUCUGGGCCAACACUGACACUGAGGCACGAAAGCGUGGGGAGCAAACAGGAUUAGAUACCCCAGUAGUCCCUGUCUCUUAUAC
rnacentral:rRNA from 1 species